CCCUUAGAUGUUCUGGGCCGCACGCGUGCUACACUGAGUGGAUCAGCGGGUCAGGUUACGCGAGAGCGUUUCCUAAUCUUCAAAUCCGCUCGUGAUGGGGAUUGACGGUUGCAAUUUUCCGUCAUGAACGAGGAAUACCUUGUAAGCGCGGGUCAUCAUCCCGCGCUGAAUACGUCCCUGCCCUUUGUACACACCGCCCGUCGCUCCUACCGAUUGAGUGGUCCGGUGAGGCUUUGGGAUCUAAGCGAAAAGAGCGUUUCGCUCCUUUUGCUGGGAGAACUCAGUCGAACCUUAUCAUUGAGAGGAAGGAGAAGGCGUAACA
rnacentral:rRNA from 1 species